GCUCAGAUUGAACGCUGGCGGCAGGCCUAACACAUGCAAGUCGAGCGGUAGCACAGAGAGCUUGCUCUCGGGUGACGAGCGGCGGACGGGUGAGUAAUGUCUGGGAAACUGCCUGAUGGAGGGGGAUAACUACUGGAAACGGUAGCUAAUACCGCAUAACGUCGCAAGACCAAAGAGGGGGACCUUCGGGCCUCUUGCCAUCAGAUGUGCCCAGAUGGGAUUAGCUAGUAGGUGGGGUAACGGCUCACCUAGGCGACGAUCCCUAGCUGGUCUGAGAGGAUGACCAGCCACACUGGAACUGAGACACGGUCCAGACUCCUACGGGAGGCAGCAGUGGGGAAUAUUGCACAAUGGGCGCAAGCCUGAUGCAGCCAUGCCGCGUGUAUGAAGAAGGCCUUCGGGUUGUAAAGUACUUUCAGCGAGGAGGAAGGCAUUGUGGUUAAUAACCACAGUGAUUGACGUUACUCGCAGAAGAAGCACCGGCUAACUCCGUGCCAGCAGCCGCGGU
rnacentral:rRNA from 1 species